rnacentral:tRNA from 1 species
AAGACUUUAAGUUAAUAAAACUAUUUGCCUUCAAAGCACAAAUUAAUUUAUAUUAAGUCUUA